rnacentral:rRNA from 14 species
CACAGGUGGUCAGGUAGAGAAUACUAAGGCGAUCGAGAGAAUCAUGGUUAAGGAACUCGGCAAAAUGCCCCCGUAACUUCGGGAGAAGGGGGGCCCCAACCUUGAGCACCACGUGCUGGUGUGAGGGGAUCGGGGCCGCAGAGACCAGGGGGAAGCGACUGUUUAUCAAAAACACAGGUCCAUGCGAAGUCGUAAGACGAUGUAUAUGGACUGACUCCUGCCCGGUGCUGGAAGGUUAAGGGGACCCGUUAGCUUCGGCGAAGCGGAGAACUUAAGCCCCAGUAAACGGCGGUGGUAACUAUAACCAUCCUAAGGUAGCGAAAUUCCUUGU